rnacentral:rRNA from 1 species
AGAGUUUGAUCCUGGCUCAGGAUAAACGCUGGCGGCGUGCUUUAUGCAUGCAAGUCGAACGGUCUCGAUUUAUCGAGACAGUGGCGAACGGGUGAGUAACGCGUAAGUAACCUGCCCCUAAGUAAGGGAUAACUCUGAGAAAUUAGAGCUAAUACUGUAUGUGGUGGUGGAGGUAAUGCUUCAUCACUAAAGCUUUAGGGCGCUUAGGGAGGGGCUUGCGUCCGAUUAGCUAGUUGGUAGGGUAAUGGUCUACCAAGGCGAUGAUCGGUAGCUGGUUUGAGAGGACAUCCAGCCACACUGGGAUUGAGAUACGGCCCAGACUCCUACGGGAGGCAGCAGCAAGGAAUUUUGUGCAAUGGGCGAAAGCCUGACACAGCGACGCCGUGUGGGGGAUGAAGGCCUUCGGGUUGUAAACCCCUUUUCUCAGGGAAGAAUAAUGACGGUACCUGAGGAAUAAGUCGUGGCUAACUACGUGCCAGCAGCCGCGGUAAUACGUAGGCGGCGAGCGUUAUCCGGAUUUACUGGGCGUAAAGAGGGCGUAGGCGGUUUUUCAAGUCGAUUGUAAAAUCUCCCGGCUUAACUGGGAGGAGUCAUUCGAUACUGUUAGACUAGAGAGCAGCGGGGGGAGGUAGAAUUCCCGGUGUAGUGGUGAAAUGUGUAGAUAUCGGGAGGAAUACCAGUGGCGAAGGCGGCCUCCUAGGCUGUUUCUGACGCUGAGGUCCGAAAGCGUGGGGAGCAAACAGGAUCAGAUACCCUGGUAGUCCACGCUGUAAUCGAUGGACACUACGUAUAGGGAGUAUCGACCCUCUCUGUGCCGAAGCUAACGCAUUAAGUGUCCCGCCUGGGGACUACGGCCGCAAGGCUA